rnacentral:rRNA from 1 species
UACGUAGGGGGCUAGCGUUGUCCGGAUUUAUUGGGCGUAAAGAGCUCGUAGGUGGUUCGGUAAGUCAGGUGUGAAACCUCCAGGCUCAACCUGGAGACGCCACUUGAUACUGCUGUGACUGGAGUCCGGUAGGGGAGCGUGGAAUUCCUGGUGUAGCGGUGAAAUGCGCAGAUAUCAGGAGGAACACCAGCGGCGAAGGCGGCGCUCUGGGCCGGUACUGACACUGAGGAGCGAAAGCGUGGGUAGCAAACAGG